AAGGCGGCUGUCUAGUCUGUAACUGACGCUGAGGCUCGAAAGCAUGGGUAGCGAACAGGAUUAGAUACCCUGGUAGUCCAUGCCGUAAACGACGAGUGCUAAGUGUUGGAGGUUUCCCCUUCAGUGCUGCAGCUAACGCAUUAAGCACUCCGCCUGGGGAGUACGACCGCAAGGUUGAAACUCAAAGGAAUUGACGGGGGCCCGCACAAGCGGUGGAGCAUGUGGUUUAAUUCGAAGCUACGCGAAGAACCUUACCAGGUCUUGACAUCUCUGCCAAUCUUAGAGAUUAGACGUUCCCUUCGGGGACAUGGAUACAGGUGGUGCAUGGUUGUCGUCAGCUCGUGUCGUGAGAUGUUGGGUUAAGUCCCGCAACGAGCGCAACCCUUAUUAUCAGUUGCCAGCAUUAAGUUGGGCACUCUGGUGAGACUGCCGGUGACAAACCGGAGGAAGGUGGGGAUGACGUCAAAUCAUCAUGCCCCUUAUGACCUGGGCUACACACGUGCUACAAUGGAUGGUACAACGAGUUGCGAACUCGCGAGAGUAAGCUAAUCUCUUAAAGCCAUUCUCAGUUCGGAUUGUAGGCUGCAACUCGCCUACAUGAAGUCGGAAUCGCUAGUAAUCGCGGAUCAGCAUGCCGCGGUGAAUACGUUCCCGGGCCUUGUACACACCGCCCGUCACACCAUGAGAGUUUGUAACACCCAAAGUCGGUGGGGUAACCUUUAGGAACCAGCCGCCUAAGGUGGGACAGAUGAUUAGGGUGAAGUCGUAACAAGGUAACCA
rnacentral:rRNA from 1 species